rnacentral:rRNA from 1 species
CUUGUUGGUGAGGUAACGGCUCACCAAGGCGACGACGGGUAGCCGGCCUGAGAGGGUGACCGGCCACACUGGGACUGAGACACGGCCCAGACUCCUACGGGAGGCAGCAGUGGGGAAUAUUGCACAAUGGGCGCAAGCCUGAUGCAGCAACGCCGCGUGUGGGACGACGGCCUUCGGGUUGUAAACCUCUUUUAGUAGGGAAGAAGCGAAAGUGACGGUACCUGCAGAAAAAGCACCGGCUAACUACGUGCCAGCAGCCGCGGUAAUACGUAGGGUGCAAGCGUUGUCCGGAAUUAUUGGGCGUAAAGAGCUCGUAGGCGGUCUGUCGCGUCUGCUGUGAAAACCCGAGGCUCAACCUCGGGCCUGCAGUGGGUACGGGCAGACUAGAGUGCGGUAGGGGAGAUUGGAAUUCCUGGUGUAGCGGUGGAAUGCGCAGAUAUCAGGAGGAACACCGAUGGCGAAGGCAGAUCUCUGGGCCGUAACUGACGCUGAGGAGCGAAAGCGUGGGGAGCGAACAGGAUUAGAUACCCUGGUAGUCCACGCCGUAAACGUUGGGCGCUAGAUGUGGGGACCAUUCCACGGUUUCCGUGUCGCGGCUAACGCAUUAAGCGCCCCGCCUGGGGAGUACGGAAU